GCUUUGCCCUGCGGCGUUCAGAGCCUGAGUUCUGCUCCCGAGGCGGGUAGCUCGGCUCCGACCCCCCCCCCACCGAGACUGGGAGCCGCCGCGGGGAUUGGAACCAACACACAGGCCGCCCGGACCCUCCGCCCGGACCCGCUGCCCCCCCCUUCGCGCUCGCCCCCGGGGCUCCUGAGCCACCUGCCCCUCCACUCCCAGCAGCCGGCCGCCGGGACCCCCCCCGGCCGGACCAUCGCCAUCGGGGGGAUCCAUAUGAUCCAGCCUAGACGGGCCCCUCCGUACCGCCCCGCGUGCGGCCCCGGCGCCGGGGGCCCGUCCCCGCUGAGAGGGCGGCUUGAGCAGGAGGAGGAGGAGGAGCAAGAAGAGGAGGCGGGCCCGAGCCCCGCGCGGCGGACGGGCGAGGGGCGUGCGCGGGGGGCCGGGGCCAGGGAGGAAGGAAACCGCCGGGGCCGUGGCGCGACUCCGAGGCGGGCCCCUUGACCCGCGGAGGGGUGAGACACGUGGCGAAGAGGCGUGUCCCCCCAGAGACCGAGCAGGAAGAGCAGCCGACGCCCGCUGGCGAGACACCGCUCUGAUGCAGGCGGGAGAGGGGGGAGGGGCCUUUUAAAAGGGGCGGGGCAAAAGAGACAGAAAUGGAGGCUGGAGACGCAGUCGUUCAUUGGCUGUCCAGCUUUGAGUCGGAAGAAGAAGAGAAAGAGCACUUAUGUACAGCUUUGGAAUGAUGCGAUGAUGUUAUUAUAUGAAUUAUAUAUCUAUCUAUAUAUAUGAAUAUAUAUAUAUAUAUAUAGACACUAUGUUGAAUAUGCAGUAUGUUUUGUAAAUCUUUUUUUUAUCCUCUUGAUGUCAUUGGUGUUAAUUUAUUGACGUGCUAUUAUGCAAUCUUGUACUUUGAACAGAAGCAGCUGGAGAAACGAUAAGACAGUUCAGUUUUGUGUUGGCCUUUUUUCCGCCCUAGUUAGCCCACUUUUCGACAGCUAUAAUAUACAGUUGCUGUGUUAAAGUACUGUACGAGCGAGAGUUAUAUGGAAAGGUACUGCAAAUAUUUAUUCACAUGGACCAGUAUUUUUAAAGUGCAAUUCCUGUAAAGAUUGUGUUUUUUUCUAAAGUCAUUCUACGUGGUUGUGUUAUUUUUAUUUAACUUUUUUUUAAUUUGUUUUUAUCUAAUCUAUUUGUUCUUUCGUUUGUCUCUGUUUUUUUUUCCAAAGCACAGGAUCUAAUCAUCUCCUUUAAACGCUUUAUGAAAUGAUGAAGAUCUCUGAUGAAUAUACUCCUAGGGUGCACUGACACAUAAGUCGUUGUCAAAGAGGACACUUGCUUUAUAUACGCAGUAGCUGUUUUUUCUACAGACACGUGUAUUUUUUGUGUUGUUGCUUUUAUAAAUGAUACAAUCACCCUAAUUGUCAUGUUCAUGUUUGC
ensembl:lncRNA